UACGGAGGGGACUAGCGUUGUUCGGAGUUACUGGGCGUAAAGCGUGCGUAGGCGGUGUCUUAAGUUUGUUGUGAAAUCUCCCGGCUUAACCGGGAGGGUGCGGCGAAUACUGAGAUGCUGGAGUGCCGGAGAGGUAAGCGGAAUUCCUGGUGUAGCGGUGAAAUGCGUAGAUAUCAGGAGGAACACCUGCGGUGUAGACGGCUUACUGGACGGUAACUGACGCUGAGGCACGAAAGCGUGGGUAGCAAACAGG
rnacentral:rRNA from 1 species